UUUUACUUUCAGUUUUUCUCUCCAGAAUAGAAGAAAAGACCCUCAAAAACUACUUCCAUCUUCUGCUUGAGAUUCAUCAAAAAUUCGUUCGCUCGAGCCUGUGUAGUCUUGAAUCACACACAGAAAGAAUUGAAAUCUCUAAUUUUUUCUUUCUGACAUUAAAAGAGACUCAUAGUGUAAAAGAUGAUGAUCACAUUGUAUCCUAUAGAGUUCCUAAGUUUGCCAGAGAAAUUAACUAGGCGUGAAAUAAUCUUCCGAAGUAAACUAAAGUAAGUUCUUUGGUUGGGUUGAAUAAUUUUGACUAGUUUAUGUGUGUAGCAACCUUUGGCGCAUAAGAUGCUUGUGCAUUUGAUGAGAACAUCAUCUGCUUCACCUUCGAAUCAGGUCCAGACAAACGCUGCUUCCGGAGAAGCCAUGGCAUUUAAUGGGGACUCUUCGUCUUUCUAUCUCUGGUUAACUGAUGAUAUGGGGAUUUUUUCUUUCUGAAGAUGCAAUUUGAAGAAGAGUAAGAUUUCAAUCCCUAUUAUUUUUCCUUCCAUAUAGGAUUUCUGUGGUUCCGGCAAGAUUUUUAUUUUUUGUAUUUGGUAUCAUAUUUCAUUGUUAGGGCAAUCGGAUUCUUGUUAUAUUGAAUCCGAUUCUUCUACUGUAUGAUUUGGUUUGAAAUCAAUAAGUUCAUGUGGGGUUGUUAUGUUGAUAUUGGUGAUACGUAAUUGAUUUCAUGAUCUUGUUGAAUUCCGGUAGGAGAUACUUAGUCCAUUUCCAUCUACUGUCACAAGGUCUAUGACAAUAGCUGUUCUGUAUGGUAAUGGAAUUGCUCUUCCCAUGCCUCUCACUGUUUCUGUUUUAAAACACGGUUGCCCGAAGGAUCUCAUUUAGGCCUUGAGUGAUGGUCUUGAAGGAAGCUGCUUAAAGAGUGAUGAAAAUUAUUGCUUACGGAGGUUAGUUAGUGAAUAUCCAUUAUAUGGAUUUCUGAUUAGUUUUAUUCUUUGAUCUUGGUGAUCCAUAUAUGUCAUGCUGACACAGUAGGUAUUCGCCAGGUUUAUGACCAUCACAUACAUGUGUACCUGGACUGCUGGACAACCCCAUGAAUAAUUAUCUAGUGUAAAAGAUGAUGAUCACAUUGUAUCCUAUAAAGUUCCUAAGGUUGCCAGAGAAAUUAACUAGGCGUGAAAUAAUCUUCCUAAGUAAACUAAAGUAAGUUCUUUGGUUGGGUUGAAUAAUUUUGACUAGUUUAUGUGUGUAGCAACCUUUGGCGCAUAAGAUGCUUGUGCAUUUGAUGAGAACAUCAUCUGCUUCUCCUUCGAAUCAGGUCCAGACAAACGCUGCUUCCGGAGAAGCCAUGGCAUUUAAUGGGGACUCUUUGUCUUUCUAUCUCUGGUUAACUGAUGAUAUGGGUAUGUUCUGCUGUCCUAUUGAAUGGUCUGAAUGAGUGCGUGAGUUGUAUGAUGUUAGCUACAUUUCCAAUGUGCUGUCCUUAUUACUUCUACGGUAUGAUCAGUGAGUACUUUUUAUUUGGCCAUAUAUUUAACUAUACAUACACUAUUUACUUUAAAAUCCUUAGCAACAGAAGAAUGUUUAGUUAAUUAUAUAUAUGUGUGAUUAAAAUCCCAGUGGAGCUAAUUAUUUUUAGCCAGUGGGGAUGUUAACUCUCCAGGACGUGCGGAGGAGAAAGACCUAGCAACUAUUUAAUUUGGUUCAUAGAAGACUUGCAGCUGUCUAAUUGUGGGUGUAGCGAAUUUGGUUUGAUCAUGCUUCAAAAAAAAAAAACUCCUGCCUUUAGAUUUGGUCUAUUUUAGUUUAUUUUUUAAAAAUGUUUUUGUAUUCUGGUUUUGUUUGUUGUCUAGCUUUCUUGUGAUUUGUCAGUGAGUUUAUAAAGGAAACUUUGUUGUUUUUUUGCAAGAUGGAAAUCAACAAAAUGGGGAGCAAUGUCGGCAUUCCAAUUCCUUGGUUAUUGGUAAAGUAUAAAAUUAUUUUGUUUAAUACUGCUGUGUUUAGAUGUAUUUUUAAUUAAGGAUGUACAAAAUGCUUGCAUUUUCCUCUAAGCAGCUGUUGUCCUUGAAGAAAGAAAGGUUCGAGGUGAUACCCCUCUUGCAUUUUUCGUCGGAAAGAAGCAUGGUAAGGAAAAAGUUGAUUUGGAUACCAACGGAAAGCCUUGUGGAGCCAAUCAAGCAAAAUAUUCCAAUGUCAUUGGGUUGUUGCUCAAACAAUCUCGCCGUUUCCACUGGCCUGUACAUUGAGAUAGACAAGCUGAUGAGCCUCAAAAUGAUUGUAAGUAUCUCAUCCUUGAUAAUAAUAGUGAAUAAAAAAAGUUGGUUAUGGAUAGAAUUGUGAUUCUAUUUUCCAGAUGGUUUUCUUUUGGGUUCUUAUCUUUAUACUUUUUGUUGACGGUAAAUAAAAUCAUUAGACAUGAUGAUUCUCUACCUAUGUUGUUCUUUUUGCUUGGUUGUCUUUGUUUUGAUUUGUCUAACAGGUGUGCGCGGCCCAGGAACGAACAUCUGGGAUUGGUUUCCUAGGCCUUCUGAGAGUUGAUUUAACAUGGACAGGUCAACUUUGAAGUAUAAGGUUUCUUUACUUGCCAGUUGGGUCGUUACUAAAAUGGGAUAUUGUGUAAAUUAAUUUGUUUCUUUUCUUAUGGUGAAGUGGGGGAUUCACUAUACCGUGUAACAAAUACUUUUUCCCUAAUGAAAUUUAAAUUCUCUGUGUUGAUUCAAA